rnacentral:rRNA from 1 species
UACGGAGGAUCCGAGCGUUAUCCGGAUUUAUUGGGUUUAAAGGGUGCGUAGGCGGAUUGAUAAGUCAGUGGUGAAAUUCUACAGCUUAACUGUAGACUUGCCGUUGAUACUGUUGGUCUUGAGUGUGGUCAAGGCAGGUGGAAUGUGUGGUGUAGCGGUGAAAUGCUUAGAGAUCACACAGAACACCGAUUGCGAAGGCAGCUCACAAAGCCACAUCUGACGCUGAGGCACGAAAGCGUGGGUAUCAAACA